GACGAACGCUGGCGGCGUGCUUAACACAUGCAAGUCGAACGGUGAACGAGGGAGCUUGCUCCCUCCGGAUCAGUGGCGAACGGGUGAGUAACACGUGAGCAAUCUUCCCCGAAUUCGGGGAUAAGCUUUGGAAACAACUUCUAAUACCGGAUACACCUCGGGAGGGCAUCCUCCCCGCGUGUAAAGAACUUUGGUCCGGGAUGAGCUCGCGGCCUAUCAGCUUGUUGGUGGGGUAACGGCUCACCAAGGCGACGACGGGUAGCCGGCCUGAGAGGGUGACCGGCCACACUGGGACUGAGACACGGCCCAGACUCCUACGGGAGGCAGCAGUGGGGAAUAUUGCACAAUGGGCGCAAGCCUGAUGCAGCAACGCCGCGUGAGGGACGACGGCCUUCGGGUUGUAAACCUCUUUUAGCAGGGAAGAAGCGAAAGUGACGGUACCUGCAGAAAAAGCACCGGCUAACUACGUG
rnacentral:rRNA from 1 species